CCUACGGGAGGCAGCAGUGAGGAAUAUUGGACAAUGGGCGCAAGCCUGAUCCAGCCAUGCCGCGUGCAGGAAGAAGCAUCUAUGGUGUGUAAACUGCUUUUGUACGGGAAGAAACACUCCUUCGUGAAGGAGCUUGACGGUACCGUAAGAAUAAGGAUCGGCUAACUCCGUGCCAGCAGCCGCGGUAAUACGGAGGAUCCAAGCGUUAUCCGGAAUCAUUGGGUUUAAAGGGUCCGUAGGCGGUUUGGUAAGUCAGUGGUGAAAGCCCAUCGCUUAACGAUGGAACGGCCAUUGAUACUGCCAGACUUGAAUUACUAGGAAGUAACUAGAAUAUGUAGUGUAGCGGUGAAAUGCUUAGAUAUUACAUGGAAUACCAAUUGCGAAGGCAGGUUACUACUAGUGGAUUGACGCUGAUGGACGAAAGCGUGGGGAGCGAACAGGAUUAGAUACCCUGGUAGUCCACGCCGUAAACGAUGGAUACUAGCUGUUGGGAGCAAUCUCAGUGGCUAAGCGAAAGUGAUAAGUAUCCACCUGGGGAAGUACGUUCGCAAGAAUUGAAACUCAAAGGAUUGACGGGCUUGAGAGNGCGACGACGACGACGAGGAGGAGG
rnacentral:rRNA from 1 species